CACAAUUCACAGUGUGACCAGGACACUGACAUAAGGAAACAACCACAAGUGGAAUGAUGGACAAGACGACCUGUUUCUGAACUGCUACAGAAAGAGACUGGCUCGGGAGUUGGCUUCUGCCCUGCUGAUUGAUGUGCCUUCUCCACCAUCCUUCAGCACAAUCGGCGCAGCCCACCAGGAGUACCACUCAGGAGCCACCGACAUCAUUUGAAUGACCCUUCAUCACCUCCAGUCCUCUCUUAAAACUUCCAUUAAAAGAGGUCAAAUGCUGCCUCGGAGCCUGUUAGCAGCUCCCACCUGAAAGUCACCCAAUUUUCAUUUACAAUUUGUUAGUCAUUUGUGACGUGUUUUUCAGCAGUGCUCUUUUUAACAGCUUCCAGUUUGUUCAGUGUCUUUUCUCCACCUGCUCAGAGAACUUCUUCUGAUGGGAAAAGUUCAGUUGAUACCAAGGAAAGUUUAAUAUACUUCUAUGUUUAUCCUUUAAGAUUUCUUUUCUUUCUGGCUGAUAGGUGAUGAAACAACAUUCACACAACUACAAAGUUCCCCUUUCUAUGAUGGAUAAAUUUCAUGUCAUCCCAGAAUACCUGUUUAACAUUAAAAAGUUGAUGGAAAUCUUUGUUAUCAAGGAAGAUCUCUCAAAUAAAUACCCUUUUCCCCCCCAAAACAAAUCUGCAUUAUUUUUAUCUCCAUAAUAUAUAGAAGAUGACACAUUAUUUCAAAAUAUUAGUGUUCUCUUAUUCCCGGGCAAGUAGAGAAAGCUAUAAGAGCAUUGAAAUAGUGAUUGGUAUAUAUGUUAUUAUUGCAACCAAUUUUUCUACUGAUCUA
rnacentral:lncRNA from 1 species